rnacentral:tRNA from 1 species
AGACUUUAAAAUGUUAAAUAGAUUUUACUAUGUUUGAUUACGGUUCAAAAAGAUAUACAUUUU